rnacentral:tRNA from 1 species
GCCGGCAGUACCGAAACCCCCAAUCCCGCCGCGACCAGGCCGAUGAUGGUUAGCGCCUCGUUCGCUUCCUGAGCGAUGCGCGGGCUGAAUCCCGCCUGCCGCGCCA